UUUGUUCUUCAACACUUCUUCAGUCAAUCAUUGUCAAAGCAACAGAAGGGAAAAUGAUAUUUUGGCUUCAAUGUGUUUUCUUUUUAGCAUUCUUCAGAGGUGUGCAAUCAGAGGUCCAGCUGGUGGAGUCUGGAGGGGACGUCAAAAGGCCCGGAGAGUCCCUCCGCCUCACCUGUCGGGCCUCCGGGUUCACCUUCAGCAGCUAUGGCAUGCACUGGGUGAGACAAGCAUCUGGAAAAGGCUUGGAAUGGGUGGCAUACAGAUAUUCGUCUUACAUUUACUACUCAGAUAAAGUCAAGGGACGAUUCACCACCUCGAGGGAUGAAUCAAACAGCCUGUUUUACUUGCAAAUGAACAAUCUGAAACCUGAAGACACAGCAAUGUAUUACUGUGCAAGAGACACAGUGAGGGGAAGUGAAUCGGAAGUCUGGCAAAAACUAAUGGCAUCUCUCCAAGCUGACUCAAAUGCAAGAGCUUGA